rnacentral:rRNA from 1 species
GAUGAACGCUGGCGGCGUGCCUAACACAUGCAAGUCGAGCGAAGCACUUACUUUAGAUUUCUUCGGAAUGACGAAGUUUGUGACUGAGCGGCGGACGGGUGAGUAACGCGUGGGCAACCUGCCCUGUACAGGGGGAUAACAGUUAGAAAUGACUGCUAAUACCGCAUAAGCCCACAGCUUCGCAUGAAGCAGUGGGAAAAACUCCGGUGGUACAGGAUGGGCCCGCGUCUGAUUAGCUAGUUGGUAAGGUAACGGCUUACCAAGGCGACGAUCAGUAGCCGAGCUGGGAGGGUGACCGGCCACAUUGGGACUGAGACACGGCCCAAACUCCUACGGGAGGCAGCAGUGGGGAAUAUUGCACAAUGGGGGAAACCCUGAUGCAGCGACGCCGCGUGAGCGAUGAAGUAUUUCGGUAUGUAAAGCUCUAUCAGCAGGGAAGAAAGUGACGGUACCUGACUAAGAAGCCCCGGCUAACUACGUG